GACGAACGCUGGCGGCGUGCUUAACACAUGCAAGUCGAACGGUAAGGCCCUUCGGGGUACACGAGUGGCGAACGGGUGAGUAACACGUGGGUGAUCUGCCCUGCACUUCGGGAUAAGCCUGGGAAACUGGGUCUAAUACCGGAUAGGACUCCGGACUGCACGGUCUGGGGCGGCAAGCUUUUCCGGGGUGGGAUGGGCCAGCGGCCUAUCAGCUUGUUGGGGGGGUGAUGGCCUACCAAGGCGACGACGGGUAGCCGGCCUGAGAGGGUGACCGGCCACACUGGGACUGAGAUACGGCCCAGACUCCUACGGGAGGCAGCAGUGGGGAAUAUUGCACAAUGGGCGCAAGCCUGAUGCAGCGACGCCGCGUGAGGGAUGACGGCCCUCGGGUUGUAAACCUCUUUCAGCAUCGACGAAGCGAAAGUGACGGUAUGUGCAGAAGAAGGACCGGCCAACUACGUGCCAGCCGCCGCCGUAA
rnacentral:rRNA from 1 species